UUUGAGAAUGACAAUGUUUUGAUACCUAAGGAAACCUCUUGGUUUGGUUAUUAUCCAGAUGGAUCUUUUAAGACAGUUUUGACUGCUGAACAGACAAAGCUUUACUCUGAGGAUUGGAUUGGUCUCAAGGCCUUAGAUGAGGCUGGAAGAGUUCAUUUUGUAAAUGUGUCAGGGGGCCAUCUCGGAAUAUCCGAAAGUGACAUGAAAAAGCAUGUUGUGCCUUACUUGGUGGAUCAACAAUCGGUAAGGAGGGUUAGCAAAGCUGGGUUGCAGGGACUUCCCCGUAGAAUCACGCCAAACAAAAAGAGAGAACAAGAUGUGGAAGGAUUCAGCGGCACAAAAUCAUCUGAAGAGAUACUACAUGGAUCAUCAUCAUAUCAGUGGCCCUCAUCAGUGACAGGUUUUUUCAUGGAGCUUGUUGGGCUCGCAGUGACAGAGGAGAAUGCUCCCGAUAAAUUGUGAAUUGGAACAUCAGCUGCUUCAGUAAUUUCCGCUGGGUGGAAUCAAUAAGUAUAGUAAUCCCGUAUUCUUCUGUGCUUUAUACUUGCCAUUGCUUAUCAAAACCUCUGGCUGUCACUUAUGGCUAUUGUUGAAAUCGAACUCAACUCUACAGGAAAAGCUAUAAGGAUUAGUAUCGUGGAUUACCACAAUGAUUCAUUAUUUAUNAUUUUUCAACCGCACAAACUGGGCUAUGCGCGACUGAUUAGCAUCCAACGAUGUCAGAAAG
rnacentral:misc_RNA from 1 species